GCCAAUGAUGAAUCUAUAGAGACAUUUCUGAAAUGCAGUUAUACUCUGCACAGAUUUGUUGAAAUUCAUGAACUAGGACGGUCUGAGGC